CGUCAGAGCUAACCUCCCACCCGUGUCUAUUACAUCUUGUUGCUUCGGUGGCAUCCGUGCCGCCGAGGACACCAUUUGAACUCUGUUUUAUAAUGCAGUCUGAGAAUAUAACUUAAUUAGUUAAAACUUUCAACAACGGAUCUCUUGGUUCCGGUAUCGAUGAAGAACGCAAGCGAAAUGCGAUAAAUAAUGUGAAUUGCAGAAUUCAAGUGAAUCAUCGAGUCUUUGAACGCACAUUGCGCCCCCUGGUAUUCCGGGGGGCAUGCCUGUCCGAGCGUCAUUGCUGCCCUCAAGCCCGGCUUGUGUGUUGGGUCCUCGUCCUUAGGGACAGGCCCGAAAGGCAAUGGCAGUACCGCGUCCGGUCCUCGAGCGUAUGGGGCUUUGUCACCCGCUCUGUAGGCCCGGCCGGCGCUCCGCCGACCAACCAAAAACUAUUUUUCAGGUUGACCUCGGAUCAG
rnacentral:rRNA from 1 species